rnacentral:tRNA from 1 species
GGCCGGGUAUGCAAAACUGGUAAAGCAGCCAGGUCGAGAGCCUGGUGACUGUGGGUUCGAUUCCCACCUCGGCUACUA